UCUGGAGACAUGCCAAGUGCUAGGUAGGCCCUGUGCCAAGUGCUUCCCAUGGAUUAUCUCAUGGAAUUCUCAUCACUACCUGAUGGUUCAUUAUCUUCACUUCACAGAUGCAGAAACGGAAGGGAGCACUUUUAAGGGCAUGGACCACAUUCAACUUCUGAACCUGUGGUGUCUGGAGCAGCGCCUGGAACAUUGUCUAAGGAAAGAAUGAGUGGAUAAACAGAAGAAUGAAAAUCUGCAGUAUACACAGAGCUGUGCCCUGGCCCAGCUCCACGGCCACCACCACCUCCUACCAGAUGGCAGGAAGCGAGCCUGCAGGAGAUGGUAGCCAUUGUCUCUCUAAGAACCGCUGAGCUUCUGGGAGAGGCCAGAUUGGUGGUGACAGGCAGCUGGACGACCCAGGAGUCCAAGGAGUCCAAGGAGUGCCCAGAAGAGAGGAGUUCCCUGGGCACUCGUGGCCAAACUGCUGUAUCUAGCCUACAUACAUCUUUUUUUCCCAAAGAUGCCAAAUGCCUCCCUUGUACCCUUGGUUUUUGUCGAGGUUCUCAUAACUAACCUUCAUAUCACCAUGUUCCCAAGUAAACUGAGGCUCUCUGUUUCCUCUGCAAGUGCUCCCAACUGACACCUGUGGAGGGCAGAGUUCUGCAGCUGGGCAGGGGCCCUCUCAUUUGUGUGCAGACGUUCACUCCCACUAAUGGAGGGCCUCGCCAUCAGUUACUGUUUAAUGAGAGGCGGUUCUGCAGGAUUCUCCCCUGUUUAUUCCUGCUGGGGUGGU